rnacentral:rRNA from 1 species
AGUGAACGCUGGCGGUAGGCCUAACACAUGCAAGUCGAACGGCAGCACAGUAAGAGCUUGCUCUUACGGGUGGCGAGUGGCGGACGGGUGAGGAGUACAUCGGAAUCUACUUUUUCGUGGGGGAUAACGUAGGGAAACUUACGCUAAUACCGCAUACGACCUACGGGUGAAAGCAGGGGAUCUUCGGACCUUGCGCGAUUGAAUGAGCCGAUGUCGGAUUAGCUAGUUGGCGGGGUAAAGGCCCACCAAGGCGACGAUCCGUAGCUGGUCUGAGAGGAUGAUCAGCCACACUGGAACUGAGACACGGUCCAGACUCCUACGGGAGGCAGCAGUGGGGAAUAUUGGACAAUGGGCGCAAGCCUGAUCCAGCCAUACCGCGUGGGUGAAGAAGGCCUUCGGGUUGUAAAGCCCUUUUGUUGGGAAAGAAAAGCAGCAGGUUAAUACCCCGCUGUUCUGACGGUACCCAAAGAAUAAACACCGGCUAACUUCGC